rnacentral:lncRNA from 1 species
UUCCUCCCCAUUCUCAUGCCCUCUCUCACUCUCUCUUCUCCCUCACUUCUUUCUCUCACUUCCUCCAUUGCUGAGCAAUGUUCAAGCUUCCAAGAUCACAUUUCCACCAUAGAUCUUCACUAAAUCAAAUCAAAAACUUCUUUUCCUUUGAAUCAAGAGCUAGGUUGAUGGAGUUUCAAGCUUGAAGUUAGAGAGAAGAAAUUGUCAUUUCUCUCAAAAUCUUUGAGUAAGUGUUUACAUCUCAUAGAUCUAGACUCUAUGGUGUUAUAUAUGUAUGCUUGAAGCAAGAAAACACCCCCUCUUCUCUUUCUUAGAUUUUCAAAAAUUUAGGGGUUUUCCCCUUCAAAAAAUUUUCUUAUUCUUUUCUUAAUUUGGCAUGAGAUCUAUGCUUAUUGAGGUGUUUUGAGAUGAUUUCUAUGUGUAUAGAAAGGUGUUAGAAAGAACUAUGGAUUUUGAGUUAGUUUAGUUUACCUAAAAUUUGGAUAUUUUGAUUCUAGGGGUUAAUUGUUAAAUUGAUGGAUGAUAACUGCUAUUGAGGGUAUUAUUAUGAUAUUAGAUGGAUUGGAUUGAUGAUUGAGAUGGAUGGAUGGAACUUGAUGUGAGUUAGUUUGUUGGAAAUUAGGGAUAUUUGGUUAUGAGCUUCAUUAUGUAAAUUGAUGAUUUAUAUAUGCUAUUGAGAUGUCUAAUAUGAUGAAUUAUGAGUGAGAUUGAAGAUUGUAAGUGAUUUGCAAAUUUCGGUAAGAGUUAGUUUGAUGUGAUUUGGGUAAAACUUAUUCUAUGGUUUAAUUGAUUAAUUGAUUGGUUAAUAAUGCAAUUAGAUGAUUCAAUUUGAUUAAUCAAAUAUUGGAUUAAUGAUUUAUGCAUGUUUGUAAAUUUUCAAAAAGUUUAGUUUGAUAUAAAUUAAGGCUUUUUGAUUUAUGUGUUAAUUAUGCAAAUUGGCUAAGUUUAAUUGUUAUUAAGCAUGAUAGAAAUGAUAAUUAGGGAUCAAUUUGGUUAAUUGUUAAGAAUAACUAAAAUUGGUUAAGUUUAGUUUACUAAUAAUUGGGAACUUUUGAUUAAUGAGAUAAAUACUUGAAUUGAUGGUGUUUAUGUGUUAGUUAGACUACUAGCAAGGAGAAAGCAUGAUUAAAUUAUUUAUUUAUAAUGAGUUAUGAAAAUUUCUCGAGUUUAGUUUGCGUGCAUACAUGAGAUCUUGUAUAUAAGAUGAGUUAUGAGUCAAGCAUGUCUAUAUGUGGCUAAUUGAUGAUAAGUUGAGCUUAUAUAUGCGAUAUGAGACGAAAUGAAUCAUCCCCUAAAAACCUAUGUCUUGACGAAUGGGAGCUAAAGAAGGGGAAGCCGAGUUUGAAUUUUCUUGAGUUAUAUGAUCAUGUAUUUAUAUUAUUGUGAAUUAUGUGAGCUUAAUUUGAAUUUUUGAGAAAUUUUCAUCGAAGAAAUCCGAAGUUUAGGUAUAAUUGCUUUUAUGGUCAAGUUUGGAGUUAUUUUGAGACCUUUUUAAAGGCCACUGACCUACUGUUUUUAACGAGUUUAUAAUACUCAAAAGUCUUGAAAAUUUUAUAGCAAGUAUAUAUGAGAAUCUCGAACACCUCGGUAAAAUUUCAACUCAUUUGGACCUCGUUUACUAUUUUUCUAAAAUAUAAAACCCCAACUACAAUAUUCUAACGAAAAUAUCGAAGAGCAGCCAAUAGAGUCACCUUUUUCAGUAGCUUCCCCUAACGUUUUGAUUUCCAAAUUUUUAUGGUAAAGAGGUUAUUGUGUUAGAUAGCUACUCACGAAAUUUCAAGCAUUUUCGACAAUGUUUACUAUUUUUCAAAAAUCCAAACUUUCAGUUGCACAAAACUGUCGGAUAUGGUAGACUGUAGGAGACCGGCCAUAUCUCUUCAAUCACUUGGAGUUUUUCAAUCUACUUUUUUUUAAAUGAAAAUAGACUCAAAGAGGUUUUCAUUGAUAUGAGUCACGAACCCAAGAGAUGUCCGAGGUGAAACGGAUUAAGAUUUUAGUUUGAGAUAGUGCAUAAUGACGGUUGUAUGUGAUAACUAGGCCUGUGAAUCGGGUCGGGAUCGGGUACCCUACCCGAAAAAAUUAGGUACCCGAUCCCGAAUAAGACCAAAAUCCUAUACCCGAACCCGAACCCGAAAAAAAAUCGGGUACCCUAAUACCCGAGUCGGGUAUUCGGUACCCUAAAUUACCCGGUCAAAAUUGAAUCUUUCCAGUCAAACAGUGAAAAUCGGGUAUUUCGGGUACCCGAAUUACCCGAUUUGGCUUAAUCGGGUACCCUAAUACCCGAAAUACCCUAUUUUUUUAUAAAAAAAUAAAAAAUGUAGCCUUUAUUUUCAGUCUUUCCCUAUAUAAUUGCAUAUGUUUUUAAUUCCAUGUAUUAACAAAUAGGGUUAAUUGCCGUUAAAUUCAAAAGUUUUUUGAGAUUUCGCGAUAUUCUCACCAACUUCAAAAUCGACGUAUAAAUACACCAAUUGAGAAUUCGUUCUUAAUGUUCCCAAAAUUAAAAAAUUCCCCCAAUUUGAAAUUGACAUGGACUAUCGUAAUUACAGCGUGGCAUAGUCGGCGGCGUAAGGAAACGACGUCGUUUUGAUUUCCAUCAACAUUAAAAAAAAGAAAAAAAAAUUAGGCAGAAAUCUCUCUCUCUCGCACACCACCGCCGCCACCGAGUUCUGGACUUCCAGCCACCACCAUCGCCGAGCUCUGGACUUCCAGCCACCAGACCACCACCACCGCCCAUUUCCG